UCGAACGGUAACGCGGGGGCAACCCUGGCGACGAGUGGCGAACGGGUGAGUAAUACAUCGGAACGUGUCCUGGAGUGGGGGAUAGCUCGGCGAAAGCCGGAUUAAUACCGCAUACGCUCUGAGGAGGAAAGCAGGGUGACCGCAAGGCCUUGCGCGAGAGGAGCGGCCGAUGCCGGAUUAGCUAGUUGGUGGGGUAAAGGCCUACCAAGGCGACGAUCCGUAGCUGGUCUGAGAGGACGACCAGCCACACUGGGACUGAGACACGGCCCAGACUCCUACGGGAGGCAGCAGUGGGGAAUUUUGGACAAUGGGGGAAACCCUGAUCCAGCCAUGCCGCGUGUGUGAAGAAGGCCUUCGGGUUGUAAAGCACUUUCGGACGGAACGAAAUCGCGCUGGUGAAUAUCCAGCGUGGAUGACGGUACCGUAAGGAGAAGCACCGGCUAACUACGUGCCAGCAGCCGCGGUAAUACGUAGGGUGCGAGCGUUAAUCGGAAUUACUGGGCGUAAAGUGUGCGCAGGCGGCGUCGCAAGUCGAGUGUGAAAUCCCCGGGCUUAACUUGGGAAUUGCGCUCGAAACUACGGUGCUGGAGUAUGGCAGAGGAAGGUGGAAUUCCACGUGUAGCGGUG
rnacentral:rRNA from 1 species